UACGAAGGGGGCUAGCGUUGUUCGGAAUUACUGGGCGUAAAGCGUGCGCAGGCGGUUCUCCAAGUCAGUGGUGAAAGCCCGGAGCUCAACUCCGGAACUGCCAUUGAAAGUGUUGGACUUGAAUAUGAGAGAGGUGAGUGGAAUUCCCCAGUGUAGAGGUGAAAUUCGUAGAUAUUGGGAAGAACACCGGUGGCGAAGGCGGCUCACUGGCUCAUUACUGACGCUCAGGCGCGACAGCGUGGGGAUCAAACAGG
rnacentral:rRNA from 1 species